GGGCCGGUAGAUCAGCCUGGAAGAUCACCUCGUUGGCAUCGAGGAGGCCGCGGGUCCGAAUCCCGCCCGGUCCA
rnacentral:tRNA from 1 species